rnacentral:snoRNA from 1 species
CGUUGAAGUGAUGAUAAUUUACUCGGAAUUAUAUAACAUGUCGAUUCAACAAAUCAGACUACAAUUAUCUGAUCAACG